UCCUGGCAGCACCAAUCUACUUCAGAGAAGAUGAUGGACACUGAAGAAACUCCUUAUGGAGUUUACUUUCACUGUGGCAAUAGUUAGCCACUGGGCAAGAAAAUGCCCUUGACUCAACUGCUAACGGUUUGCUGUCCAAGAUGGACAAGCAGGACAGAAAAGAAAGGACUGCAGAUCCUUGACAAGACAAGAAAUGGCUUGUAAAAUGAUGUUUAAAAUGGGAUACAUUCCUGGAAAAGGUAUUGGAAGGAAUUAUCAGGGAAAACCACAGGCUACAUAAGACAAGGACAGCAGCAGGACAAGGCCUGAUUUGACCCACCUCCUUUAUUCACUCCCCUUUGAGGUUGCAAAUGAAGCUGACUAUUACUGCUCUUGUGGGGACCUUGAAAGUCUUGCAUUGUAUUGUCAAAGUUGGACUGCUUGUAAGGUUUUAG